rnacentral:tRNA from 1 species
GCGAGAGUGGCGGAAUUGGAAGACGCGCUGGACUUAGGAUCCAGUACUAUAAGUUAGUAUGGGGGUUCGAGUCCCCCCUCUCGCA